GCCUGUGUUGAUCCCCUUGGCUUGAGUCUCUAAAAGUUCUGAGCUGUCAUGAGUGUUUGAACACUAAAUUUAGAACUUCUGUAAAAACAGUCAAGGUUCUUAACCACUGAGCAAUCUUCUUAUCCCUGAGAAUUUAUUUAAGCAAUUAAAGCUCUAAAUUUGUAAACAAUUUGCUCAUAGAAAUCCUUUGACAAACAAUAAAAAUGUUAAAAGAAAUAUUAUAACAUAUCAAUGGAAAUAGAAAUCCAAGAGAAGAUCCUAACCAUUGCCAAGACUUGUAAACAAGCAUACAAAAAGGGAAGAACAAAACAGUGCUUAUCUUGCAUGCUACAAAGUGUAGAGGAGGUGACAUCAUGAGUAUUGGCAAAGGAUGGGGUGACAGAGCAAAAUGCAAUGGUCUGGAUGCAUUCCUUUUUGCACUUGGCAUCUUCAGUGCAUAUACAACAUAAAGCUACUCUCUUACAGCAAGGAGCUAAUAUCUUCCCCCUGACUCCCAUCUCUGGCUUUUCAUUGCUCUAACUAACAGAGAAAAGGGAAGUAGGAAAAGUUACCCAAAAGAAUUUUCAAGACUACAAAUGUGACAUUCUGAGAACACAAACCUAAUUUCUUCUUUCACAUAAUUCUAAAAUUAGGAUUUCCCUUAUUAAGGUUGUUGAAAUUCUCCACUUAAAAGGGGCUCCUGGAGACCAGAAGUUGUAAAAUUCUGAUACCUUGCUAUUAUUGGUAAAGGCAUUAUUACUUAUGUUCAUUUUUCUACAACCUGUAAAACAAUGAAGAGUUAAUAUGAAUAUUUUUCAAAACUGUAUUUUUUUACUCAAUGGUCACACACGUCCUUAGAAUAAAUACCAGGUAGAAAAAUAAACUGGCAAACUGACAGCUAGUUAGAGCAACAUGAUUUUUUUCUGAAAUUUUAAUUUUUCUGUCAGUGUUCAUUUUUGUGAAAACAUAUCUCAAUAUAAAUGCUUACUAUAUGAAUUAUGUAGAAUUAUUGAGGAAUGAAUUGUUGUAGAGAUCAAAACACAAAAGUAUUAAGUAUUGAAAUGUUAAAAUUUAUUGUAUAAUUUUGCUUAACAUAGACAGAGACCAACUGUUAAUCUGGGAUAGUCAGAAAUUGUUAACAAAGUUGAAUUAAGUGCCUUGUAGAAUUGAGUUUAAGAGACAAUUUGGGGUUGAGAGAACAUCCCUAUAAACAGGACAGAUCCCUUAAUAGUGUAUGCAAAAUGUAGCUGGCGAAACAUUUUGGACAGAGGCCAAAUCAGGAGAACUUGGUCACUAAUUCAAUUAGCAAUUGAAAAACAAUCUCAAACAUAAUAAGAGCUGAAGUCAACGGACGAGUACAAUUGUUGUAGCUUUACAGAAAGAGGAAAAUGAUGAAUGCAUAUUACUUGAAACUCAACACAACUCAUUUAAGUUUAUGCAAUUAAAAACAUCACUUAAGAAAGUCAGUAUGAUGUACUGGAAGCAGAGUAAGGUAGAUCCCUGUGAGUUCAAGACUAGCCAAGUUUAUACAGUCAGUUCCUAGCCAGCCAGUGCUACAGAGUGAGACCUUCUCUCUAAAAAAGAAAAAAACAAAAAAGAAAGAAAGAAAGAAAAAAGAGAGAAAGAAAGAAAG
rnacentral:lncRNA from 1 species